rnacentral:rRNA from 1 species
AAAUUGAAGAGUUUGAUCAUGGCUCAGAUUGAACGCUGGCGGCAGGCCUAACACAUGCAAGUCGAGCGGAAACGAGUUAUCAGAACCUUCGGGGAACGAUAACGGCGUCGAGCGGCGGACGGGUGAGUAAUGCCUAGGAAAUUGCCCUGAUGUGGGGGAUAACCAUUGGAAACGAUGGCUAAUACCGCAUGAUGCCUACGGGCCAAAGAGGGGGACCUUCGGGCCUCUCGCGUCAGGAUAUGCCUAGGUGGGAUUAGCUAGUUGGUGAGGUAAGGGCUCACCAAGGCGACGAUCCCUAGCUGGUCUGAGAGGAUGAUCAGCCACACUGGAACUGAGACACGGUCCAGACUCCUACGGGAGGCAGCAGUGGGGAAUAUUGCACAAUGGGCGCAAGCCUGAUGCAGCCAUGCCGCGUGUGUGAAGAAGGCCUUCGGGUUGUAAAGCACUUUCAGUCGUGAGGAAGGUAGUGUAGUUAAUAGCUGCAUUAUUUGACGUUAGCGACAGAAGAAGCACCGGCUAACUCCGUGCCAGCAGCCGCGGUAAUACGGAGGGUGCGAGCGUUAAUCGGAAUUACUGGGCGUAAAGCGCAUGCAGGUGGUUUGUUAAGUCAGAUGUGAAAGCCCGGGGCUCAACCUCGGAAUUGCAUUUGAAACUGGCAGACUAGAGUACUGUAGAGGGGGUAGAAUUUCAGGUGUAGCGGUGAAAUGCGUAGAGAUCUGAAGGAAUACCGGUGGCGAAGGCGGCCCCCUGGACAGAUACUGACACUCAGAUGCGAAAGCGUGGGGAGCAAACAGGAUUAGAUACCCUGGUAGUCCACGCCGUAAACGAUGUCUACUUGGAGGUUGUGGCCUUGAGCCGUGGCUUUCGGAGCUAACGCGUUAAGUAGACCGCCUGGGGAGUACGGUCGCAAGAUUAAAACUCAAAUGAAUUGACGGGGGCCCGCACAAGCGGUGGAGCAUGUGGUUUAAUUCGAUGCAACGCGAAGAACCUUACCUACUCUUGACAUCCAGAGAACUUUCCAGAGAUGGAUUGGUGCCUUCGGGAACUCUGAGACAGGUGCUGCAUGGCUGUCGUCAGCUCGUGUUGUGAAAUGUUGGGUUAAGUCCCGCAACGAGCGCAACCCUUAUCCUUGUUUGCCAGCGAGUAAUGUCGGGAACUCCAGGGAGACUGCCGGUGAUAAACCGGAGGAAGGUGGGGACGACGUCAAGUCAUCAUGGCCCUUACGAGUAGGGCUACACACGUGCUACAAUGGCGCAUACAGAGGGCAGCCAACUUGCGAAAGUGAGCGAAUCCCAAAAAGUGCGUCGUAGUCCGGAUUGGAGUCUGCAACUCGACUCCAUGAAGUCGGAAUCGCUAGUAAUCGUGGAUCAGAAUGCCACGGUGAAUACGUUCCCGGGCCUUGUACACACCGCCCGUCACACCAUGGGAGUGGGCUGCAAAAGAAGUAGGUAGUUUAACCUUCGGGGGGACGCUUACCACUUUGUGGUUCAUGACUGGGGUGAAGUCGUAACAAGGUAGCGCUAGGGGAACCUGGCGCUGGAUCACCUCCUUA